rnacentral:rRNA from 1 species
UACGUAGGGGGGCAAGCGUUGUCCGGAUUUAUUGGGCGUAAAGAGCGUGUAGGCGGCCAGAUAGGUCCGUUGUGAAAACUCGAGGCUCAACCUCGAGACGCCGAUGGAAACCAUCUGGCUAGAGUCCGGAAGAGGAGAGUGGAAUUCCCGGUGUAGCGGUGAAAUGCGCAGAUAUCGGGAAGAACACCCGUGGCUAAGGCGGCUCUCUAGUACGGUACUGACGCUGAGACGCGAAAGCGUGGGGAGCGAACAGG